CUCUGUUGUAUUCAAAAUGCAGUUUUCUGGACCAAAAUGUCCUUUUUAUGUUCUAUGGUAUGGCAGAUUACUGUUGCAUUGCAGUUUUUAUUUAGAAGAAAUGUGCUACACAGGGUAUAAGAAAUAGCUUUGCAAUAAAGGAGACUGGUCAAAGCAUAGGGGCAGUAGUGGAUAAAUUGUGCAAAAGGCUGUUUGUUUGGAAAUCAAGUUUAAAAGAGCUUUCAAUCACUAGUUAAUAUAACUGCUUUAAAUUUACAGACAGUGGGAGUAGCUCACCGUUACCCAAGUAUGCUUCAUCUCCCAAACCAAACAACAGCUACAUGUUCAAACGGGAGCCCCCAGAGGGAUGUGAGCGAGUGAAGGUCUUUGAGGAAAUGGCGUCUCGUCAGCCUAUCUCGGCCCCUCUCUUUUCAUGUCCUGACAAAAA
rnacentral:sRNA from 1 species